CCCUUAGAUGUUCUGGGCCGCACGCGCGCUACAAUGAUUGUCUCAGCAUGUUUUGGGUGUGUAAAUACCCAGGAAUCCCGAGUAACAAUCGUGAUGGGGCUAGACCCUUGCAAUUUUUGGUCUCCAACGAGGAAUUCCUAGUAAAGGCAGGUCAUUAACCUGCCUUGAUUACGUCCCUGCCCUUUGUACACACCGCCCGUCGCACCUACCGAUUGAAUGGUCCGGUGAAAUCUCCAGACGUGGUUUUACCAUGAAAGCUGAUUAAACCUUAUCAUUUAGAGGAAGGUGAAGUCGUAACA
rnacentral:rRNA from 1 species